rnacentral:rRNA from 1 species
UACGUAGGGGGCUAGCGUUGUCCGGAAUCAUUGGGCGUAAAGCGCGCGUAGGCGGCCAGAUAAGUCCGGUGUGAAAGCCACAGGCUCAACCUGUGAAUGCCGCUGGAAACUGUCUGGCUAGAGUCCGGGAGGGGCGAGUGGAAUUCCUGGUGUAGCGGUGAAAUGCGCAGAUAUCAGGAAGAACACCCGUGGCGAAGGCGGCUCUCUGGUACGUGACUGACGCUGAGACGCGAAAGCGUGGGGAGCGAACAGG